GAUGAAGAACGUAGCGAAGUGCGAUAAGUAAUGUGAAUUGCAGAAUUCCGUGAAUCAUCGAAUCUUUGAACGCAAAUUGCGCUUCCUGGCAUCCCGGGAAGUAUGCCUGUUUGAGGGUCAGUGUUAAUAAAAAUCGGUUCGUUGCGAAUUUUUUGUGACGUUCCGGAGUUUGGGUUAUCUUAACUUUUUUGGUUAAGAGGCUUAAAAUUGACCUUUUUUUUGCGCAUUUUUUAGACGUACAUAAAUUUUUUUUUUAUUCGUCUAUUCUUAAUGCCAAAAUAUAUUAGAUUCGACCAUAUCGUGUGGUUCCGUGUCUAUAAAUUUUUCAUGAUUUGACCUCAAAUCAGGUAGGAGUACCCGCUGAACUUAAGCAUAUCAAUAAGCGGAGGA
rnacentral:misc_RNA from 1 species